AUUGAGGCUUCCCAAGCUCUGUAGCCACGGGGGAAUUACGCCGAUGAGCAGACAGUUUGUUAGGAUGAGCACCUGCAUUGUCUCACCGCCGCGGAAAUUCCUGGUCAGCACCAAGCUUGUCAGGUUGGGCAGGUGUUGCAAGACCUGCAAUGUCUAUGCCAGGUUGUGAAACUAUUCCUGGUCAGCGAGAGGAGCUAUAGCGCCACUCAGAUAGUUGGUUCCAACAUCAAAAGUAUUAAGCUUCGGCAGCAAGCUGGAGUCGAUAGCAAUCUCACUAGAGAGCGAGUUGUUCCUCAAGCUGAUUACCCUCAGCAGUGGAGAACUUUACAGGGAAGCGGGCAACUCACCAUCCAGCCUAUUGGUGGCCAGGUUUACGAACUCUAGCCUCCUCAUCUCUCCAAAGACAUCAGGGAUGGAGCCUGUGAACUUGUUAUAGGACAAGUCAAGUUGCAUGAUCUGAGAGAGGUUACCAAGGUCACUGCCGAGGUUGCCAGUGAACUGAUUUUCAUGUAAGCUCACUCUCCUCAGGUUGGGCAACGUGUACAGGUCGUCGGGAUCCCGGUGAAAUAGUUGUCGUCGAGGGAGAGCUCUGUGAGCACCCUGCACCGACAUCAGAGAUGCAGGAUGUACAUCGGUACAUGUGUGUUGGUUUUUUGUUUAACCUUCUUUAUAAUAUUUGCAAGUUGCUUUAAAAUUGAGUGCUCAUAAGAUGCAUCAAAAUGUUUCCUAUCCAAAGCUCGUAUACUAUAAUUGUUUCAUGAACUUAA